AAGUCGUAACAAGGUUUCCGUAGGUGAACCUGCGGAAGGAUCAUUACAACAAGGUUCCCUGGCCCUCGAAGCUUCGGCGGAGGGGUGCUACAGCCUGACUUUAUACCCACCCUUUGCCUAUGUGUACCCCUAUUGCUUCCCUCGGCGGGUUCGUCCGCCGACAGGAACCAACUAAACCCUUUGCAUUAUACAUUUAACACUUCCGAUACAAAACUAAAUUAUUACAACUUUUAACAAUGGAUCUCUUGGUUCUG
rnacentral:misc_RNA from 1 species